rnacentral:rRNA from 2 species
CAUCGCUCAACGGAUAAAAGGUACUCCGGGGAUAACAGGCUGAUACCGCCCAAGAGUUCAUAUCGACGGCGGUGUUUGGCACCUCGAUGUCGGCUCAUCACAUCCUGGGGCUGAAGUAGGUCCCAAGGGUAUGGCUGUUCGCCAUUUAAAGUGGUACGCGAGCUGGGUUUAGAACGUCGUGAGACAGUUCGGUCCCUAUCUGCCGUGGGCGCUGGAGAACUGAGGGGGGCUGCUCCUAGUACGAGAGGACCGGAGUGGACGCAUCACUGGUGUUCGGGUUGUCAUGCCAAUGGCACUGCCCGGUAGCUAAAUGCGGAAGAGAUAAGUGCUGAAAGCAUCUAAGCACGAAACUUGCCCCGAGAUGAGUUCUCCCUGAGACUUAGAGUCUCCUGAAGGAACGUUGAAGACGACGACGUUGAUAGGCCGGGUGUGUAAGCGCAGCGAUGCGUUGAGCUAACCGGUACUAAUGAACCGUGAGGCUUAACCUUACAACGCCGAAG